UUCGGGGAUAGCGGCGGACGGGUGAGUAACACGUAGGCAACCUGCCUGUAAGACUGGGAUAACCUCCGGAAACGGAUGCUAAUACCAGAUACACGAUACUGCUGCAUGGCGGGAUCGGGAAAGACGGAGCAAUCUGUCACUUACAGAUGGGCCUGCGGCGCAUUAGCUAGUUGGUGGGGUAACGGCUCACCAAGGCGACGAUGCGUAGCCGACCUGAGAGGGUGAUCGGCCACACUGGGACUGAGACACGGCCCAGACUCCUACGGGAGGCAGCAGUAGGGAAUCUUCCGCAAUGGACGAAAGUCUGACGGAGCAACGCCGCGUGAGUGAGGAAGGCCUUCGGGUCGUAAAGCUCUGUUGCCAGGGAAGAACGUCGGGAAGAGUAACUGCUUUCCGAAUGACGGUACCUGAGAAGAAAGCCCCGGCUAACUACGUGCCAGCAGCCGCGGUAAUACGUAGGGGGCAAGCGUUGUCCGGAAUUAUUGGGCGUAAAGCGCGCGCAGGCGGCUUUGUAAGUUCAGCGUUUAAUCUUGGGGCUCAACCCCAAGUC
rnacentral:rRNA from 1 species